rnacentral:ncRNA from 1 species
CGACAAAGGCAACCGUCACCGAAAGGGACGGGCGCAAAGCCACGGGUCUACGGCCGGAAAGGCUACGACAGCCGGGCUGCCGAA